UCCCCGGCCACGACCCUGAACCCAUCCGGAGCUCCUCCAACCCCCAACCCCGGGGCGGGGCCUUCCGGGAGGGAUCGGCGGAGCCAUGGAGAAACCGUGGGGGGAGAGCCGCCCUACUGAGGGCCGUUACGAGGAUCCUAAUGGGGAUCCCGAUGAGGAUCACUAUAGGGACUCCGAUGAGGAUUUGUAUGAGUUCCCCGAUGAGGGCCCCGACGAUGGCCCGGAGGUACUGGGGGGUCCUAUGGGGUCCUAUGGGGUCCUGUGGGAUCCUAUGGAGUUCUAUGGGGUCCUAUGGGGUCCUGGACCCACAUUAUAGGGCCCUAUUAUGGGGUCCUAUGGGGUCCUGGACCCACACUAUGGGGUCCUGUGGGAUCCUAUGGAGUUCUAUGGGGUCCUGGACCCACAUUAUAGGGCCCUAUGGGGUCCUAUGGGGUCCUGGACCCACACUAUGGGGUCCUGUGGGGUCCUAUGGAGUCCUGGACCCAAAUAAAUGGGUUCCUAUGGGGUCCUGGACCCACAUUAUAGGGUCCUAUGGUGUCCUAUGGGGUCUUGGACCCACAUUAUAGGGUUUUAUGGGGUCCUGUGGGGUCCUAUGGGGUCCUGGAUCCACACUAUGGGGUCCUGUGGGUUCCUAUGGAGUUCUAUGGGGUCCUAUGGGGUCCUGGACCCACAUUAUAGGGUUCUAUGGGGUCCUGGACCCACAUUAUGGGGUCCUAUGGGGUCCUAUGGGUCCUGGACCCACAUUAUGGGGACCUGUGGGGUCCUAUGGGGUCCUAUGCAUCCCAGUCUCACAUUAUAGGGUCCUGUGGGGUCCUAUGGGGUCCUGGACUCACAUUAUGGGGACCUGUGGGGUCCUAUGGGUCCCACAUAAUGGGAUCCUAUGGGUCAGGAACGGGACCCUCUGGGUCUGGGACCCACAUAAUGGGAUCCUAUGGGUCAGGAACGGGACCCUCUGGGUCUGGGACCCCCAUAAUGGGAUCCUAUGGGUCUGGAACCCACAUUAUGGGAUUCUGUGGGUCAGGAAUGGGAUCCUAUGGGUCUGGGUCCCACAUAAUGGGAUCCUAUGGGUCAGGAAUGGGAUCCUAUGGGUCUGGGACCCACAUAAUGGGAUCCUAUGGGUCAGGAAUGGGAUCCUAUGGGUCUGGGUCCCACAUAAUGGGAUCCUAUGGGUCAGGAAUGGGAUCCUAUGGGUCUGGGACCCACAUAAUGGGAUCCUAUGGGUCAGGAAUGGGAUCCUAUGGGUCUGGGACCCACAUAAUAGGAUCCUAUGUGUCAGGAAUGGGAUCCUAUGGGUCUGGGACCCACAUAAUGGGAUCCUAUGGGUCAGGAAUGGGAUCCUAUGGGUUCGGGACCCACAUAAUGGGAUCCUAUGGGUCAGGAAUGGGAUCCUAUGGGUCUGGGACCCACAUAAUGGGAUCCUAUGGGUCAGGAAUGGGAUCCUAUGGGUCUGGGACCCCCAUAACGAGGCCCUAUGGGGUGUCUAUGGGUCAGGAAUGGGAUUCUAUGGGUCUGGGACCCACAUAAUGGGAUCCUAUGGGUCAGGAACCCACAUUAUGGGAUUCUGUGGGUCAGGAAUAGGAUCCUAUGGGUCUGGGACCCCCAUAACGGAGCCAUAUGGGGUUCUGUGGGUCAGGAAUUGGACCCUAUGGGUCCGGGACCCACAUAAUGGGAUCCUAUGGGUCAGGAAUGGGAUCCUAUGGGUCAGAAAUGGGAUCCUAUGGGUCUGGGACCCACAUUAUGGGAUCCUAUGGGUCACGAAUGGGACCCUUUGGGUCUGGGCCCCCCAUGACAGAGCCCAAUGGGGAUUCUCCGGUUCCUGGCCCCCCCCACUUGAUCCCCGUGCCCCACAUCAGUGCCCCACAUUUGUGCCCCACAGCCUCCGCCCCCCAUCCCGGGUUUGGUGUUCGUUGUGACGGGCGGCUGCGGCUUCCUGGGCCGCCACCUCGUGCGCCUCCUGCUGGAGGAGGAACCCGACCUGCGGGAGCUGCGCGUCUUCGACCUCCACCUCGACCCCGACCUGCCCGACGGUGAGCGCCCCAUAAGUGUGGGGCAGCCCCACAAGCGCCCCUAUAGACCCUACGGAGCGUCGAAGUUGAGGGAGCCCCGAAACGGUGCUCUGUUUCUUUAAGAAUCGCAGCUCUUGGCUUACGGGGGGGGCGGGGGGGGGGUCCCAAAAUGGUUCGCUGUUGCUUUAAGGAACAGCAAAUUUGGGGACCACGAGCUGCCCCACAUCCGCCCCAUAGAUCCUGUGGGACCCCGAAGUUGGGAGGCCCCGAAAUGGUGCUCUGUCUCUUUAAGAACCCCAACUUUAAGGGCCCCAAAAUGCUGCGCUGUCCCUUUAAGAACCUCAAAAUGCUUCACUGUGCCUUUAAGGACCCCCAAAUUUGGGAACCCCACACUUGUGGGGCGGCCCCACAUCCGCCCCAUAGAUCCUGUGGGUCCCCAAAUUUCGGUCGACCCCAAAAUGGUGCUCUGUCUCUUUAAGAACCCCGACUAUAAGGGUCCCAAAAUGCUGCGCUGUCCCUUUAAGAACCUCAAAAUGCUUCACUGUGCCUUUAAGGACCCCCAAAUUUGGGAACCCCACACUUGUGGGGCAGCCCCACAUCCGCCCCAUAGAUCCUAUGGGUCCCCAAAUUUCGCUCGACCCCAAAAUGGUGCUCUGUCUCUUUAAGAACCCCAACUUUGGGGGACCCCAAAAUGGCGCU
ensembl:lncRNA